UACGUAGGGUGCGAGCGUUGCCCGGAUUUAUUGGGCGUAAAGGGCGCGUAGGCGGCCACGCACGUCCGUUGUGAAAGCCCCCGGCUCAACUGGGGAGGGUCAUUCGAUACUGAUCGACUCGAAGGCAGGAGAGGGUAGUGGAAUUCCCGGUGUAGUGGUGAAAUGCGUAGAUAUCGGGAGGAACACCAGUGGCGAAGGCGACUACCUGGCCUGUUCUUGACGCUGAGGCGCGAAAGCUAGGGGAGCAAACGGG
rnacentral:rRNA from 1 species